UUACAAAUGAGUUUUAGGCCUAUGGCGGAAUGAGUGAGAAGCUGGAACCAGAGCUCCACAACCAUGUGAUGCUUUAGUUUGAAAAUGGUGACCAGUGAAAGUGAGGCUUGGUCUAUAUUAAGCAAUGUACCAUUAUUUUAGUAAAAUAGUGUCGUGUAUGUGGAGAUACGACAGUCACUGUGUACUGUUUAAAUUGGAUACAGUCACACCUUAUUAUCUGACAGUCACUUAAGAUAGCAAUUUUUUCUCUUCUACACGAUUAUUUUCUAUUCCAAGUUCUCAUGUUAAGUGAAAGUGACAGAUUCUGCAGUGGUGCUAAAUAUCUGUGUUAUAUGUGCUGAUUGAUUAAAGUGUUGAGUGUGACAACAACCAAAAUGCUCAGUUGUCUCUCGUUGUGUGUUUUAAUUAAAAUAAACAGUUAGGAACGUCUUUAUUCUUGUUUAAGGUGUAACAAUAUCUAAUCUUUGCUCUUGAGAACAACUGGGAUUAUACAAGUUUUAAUCAGGAGUUUUACCUAUGUUGUGCUUGCUUCAGACCACCGCAAAAGAAAACUUUCCAGUAGAUGGCCCGGAGUUAUCAUCUGUCUUGUCACUGCCAACUCUCAUCAUCAGAGAAACCUAGACCUUAUCUUCUCAAAACCUUGCUCUGACUUUUCUGAGCAGCAACCUACAAAAAGUAUCUGAAAAUUGUUUUCCAUUGCUUAAUUAUAAUCAGUGGACUUCCAGAUUUUUUCAGAUGUGUUCUUCAAGAUUAUCUCCAAAUUUAUGUUAUUUUCUCUGAUCUUGAAAGUCAACUUCUAUUCUGUCUUGAGGAAUGAGAAUCUGAAGACUACCAUGAGUGAAAUUAACAAUGAUAUUCUAAGUUCUGUUCUGAACACAUAACUAGUUUUCAAAGUUUUUUAAAAAUCUAUGCAGUCUGUAUCAUUAGCUCAGGAAUUGGACACUUUUAUGACUUAGAAACGAAACAGUCAUUGAAUCUGUGUUAAAGUUGAAUCUCCAUGAUUGAAUGUUCUAUUAUUUUGCAUGCAAAAGUGAAUCAGCAUUUUUUUUUAUUGUUUCAUCAUCUGAAAAAGAAAUCAGUGUGAGGUUUGAAGUGUGAACGGUCUAAAUAUUUCAUUUAUUUUACGUGUACUUGUGAAAGUAAUCCACUUUCCUGUGGUAUUUUUUACCAUCUGAUUCACCUUUUAAAAAUAUUCUUUCCUCAUUUUCUAUUCACCUUCAGUAUUUAUUAAUAUCCUGUUUCAUCUUCACAUUCAAGAACAUAGAUCACACAUUGAAUUUUUCAGCAUCCCAGUAUUUAUAAUGCAAGUAGAACUUUCAAUUUCAGAAGCUACUGUUACAGCACGUCAUUGUGAAUGUGCAGUGUGAAAAACAUCGGAUUUUUUUUUUAUUCCAAGUUUCUGUAACAAACUUAACAUCUGUGCAGAACUGCUUUUUCAAAAUUAGCAUUAGAUUUGUGAAAUUCAGUGAGACGUGCACGUAGGUUAUACCAUUGACAAUUUCUUCAUCUAUAUCUUUUGUCUUUGCAAAUGUGAAACUAAGAGUGCUGGUGAUGGUUGUUCCAGGUUGUGAAUUUCAGUAUUUCACUUGAAAAAGAUUUAUGAGAAUCUUCAGUAUGGAUAAUAGUGACAGCUCUGUGCCAAGAUGUUACAUCAAAGUGAGUGAGUACUAAAACAAAGAAAGCUAUUACAACUGUUACCAGAGUAUGUGUUCAGUUAUUUGUUAAAAGGUUUUUGAAAAUUUCAAUGUUUCAACAUUGUUAGUGUUAUACAAACCAACAGCUUACUUGCAAGUGAUUGUUUUGUCUGUCUGCUGCACAGUGCAGGUAUUACAGAUGCUCGUGUCUGGCUGCCUCACCAGUAUUAGUCUUGUGAAAAACCAUCAGUGCAGAUCCUUGUGUGUAACUGCCUCACCAGCUUUGUGUUCUAAAAAUCAACAGUGCAUAUGAUACAGAUCCUCGUGUCUGGCUUCAUCACCACAUUAGUUUUGUGAAAAUCAACAGUGUAUAUAAUAUAGAUCCUCGUGUCUGGCUGCAUCACCACAUUAAUGUUUUGAAAAUCAACAGUGUAUAUAAUAUAGAUCCUCGUGUCUGGCUGCAUCACCAAAUUAAUGUUAUGAAAAUCAACAGUGUAGGUCAUACAAAACCUCUUGUCUAGCUUCAUCAUUACAUUAGUGCUGUGAAAAUCAACAGUGCAUGUGAUACAAAUCCUUUUGUGUGGCUUCAUCACUAGGUUAGUGUUAUGAAAACCAACAUUAAAGGUGAUACAGAUCCUCAUCCAUGUACUUCACCAGUGUUAGUCGUGUAAAAAUCAACAUUACGAGUGAUACAGAUCCUCAUGUCUGACUGCUUCAUCAGAUUAGUGUUAUGAAAAUCAACAGUACCAGUGAUAUAAAUCCUCAUUUCAACAGAACAGGUGAUACAGAUCCUUAUGUCAACAGUACAGGUGUUAGUGUUAAUAAACCCAACAAUGCAGGUGGUAUUGAUUGUGCUGUAUCGGUAUCUUGCCAGUGUUAGUGUUAUGAAAACCAUCAGUGCAAGUGAUACAGAUCUUACAUACUGGAUGUGUUGCCAGAGUUUAUGAAAAAUAUCAGUGCAGGUUAUAUUGAUUCUUGAGUCGAAAUGUCCCACCACUGUUAUUCUUGUGAAAACCAACAGUGUAGGUGAUUGUUGUAUUGAUAUUUAUUUCCAGGUGUUUUGCCACCCUUCAUGUUAUGAAAGUUAACAGUGUAGGUGAUGAUAGUCAUUUGUCCUCCAGAUGAUUCACCAUUUGUAUGGAAACCAACAGUGGAGAUGAUGAUGAUCUCUGUAUCCAGAUAGCUCACUGUUUUCAAAACUAACUAUGUAGAAUAUUGUUAUAUUGAUAUUUAUGCCCAUGUCUUUUACCAGUAGCAGUGUUAUGAAAGCAAACAGUAAUGGUGAUAGUUACAACACUCAGUGAAUGUCAGACAGGGUUUGAGAGUGAUUUGGCAAGGUUUGGUGACCUCUACAGAAGUAAGAAGAAGCAUCUCAAUUUUAAGGAGAAAAAAAAAGUAAUUUUUGUGUCUUUGUUUAACUUAAUCAUUUAGAAAAGACUGGAUUUGUAGAAAUUGUGAAUUUAGUUCUGCAUUGAAUGUUAUGCGUGUGUGUGUGUGUAUGUAUGUAUAUAUAUGUGGGGGGUUGUGCAGUUUAUUGAAAAUGAAUUAUAUUUGUUGUUGUGAUGAAGAAAACUAUUGAAGUAAGAAAUAAAAAAUUAAGAACUUAAAAAUGAUAUAAAUCUCGUGUAGAAAAUAAUUGGUUUGAAAGUACAGUUAAAUAUUAAAAGAAUAUUUUGUUGUUAGGGGAAUUGUUUUUAGUUCUGUCACAACAAUGUCAACAACUUGUUUUGAUUUACGUAUUAAUCCAAUGUUAUUGGUAAACUGAACCUUGUAAAACAAAAUAAUAUAAUACAGUAGUGAAAUGGUUUGUUAUUAGCUGAGAGUUUGGUGGGAAAGAGAAUUUGAUAAUGAUCGAGAUGUAGAAAUUUGCACAGCACGCAUGGUUGUUGGAGCUCCUUUUCAAAUUUCCUACAAAGAUUUAUACUCCAAAGACUGAGUAAUCUUUUAGAAGAGCAGCAUACUUAGACUCAUGUUGAUUUUGUAUAUGAAUUUCUUCUGAACACCAGAAUACAAUGGUGUAAGUAAAAUAAAAUAUGCUAGACUUAUCUGUAUUAGAUACCAAAAUAUAUAAACUGUGGUCUGAAGUAGUUUGUGAAAUUUAGUUUGAAGGUUGUUAAGUAAGAUGGUUAUAUAGUAUAUAUAUAACAUAUAUUUUUUUUAUGAAACAUGCAUUGGGUGAAAGUUGUAAAUGUUUGUGUAAUUAUUUAUCAUACAUACAAGUACCUUGGAACUCCAGAAUCAAGUAUUAACCCACUUAUCCUUUAAUAAGUUUUUGAUCCACACAAAAAAAAAAUCCUGUUUUUAUGAUUAAAUUGAUUAAAAAAAA